rnacentral:pre_miRNA from 1 species
AAUGUAUGACACCAUUGACUUUUUAUUCAACGUUUGACCAUCCGUCUUAUUCAAAAAAUUUAUGUAAUUAUCAUUUAUUUCAUUGUGACUUGAUUCAUCAUUAAAUGUUAUUUAAGCAUGACAUAAAUAUUUUUAUAUUUGCACAGAAAAUUUGAAUAAAACGAAUGGUCAAAUGUUGGUAAAAAGUCAACGGCGUCAUACAUU